rnacentral:rRNA from 1 species
GACGUAGGGCGCGAGCGUUGUCCGGAUUUAUUGGGCGUAAAGAGCGUGUAGGCGGCCAGGUAGGUCUGCUGUGAAAACUCGAGGCUCAACCUCGAGACGUCGGCGGAAACCAUCUGGCUAGAGUCCGGAAGAGGAGAGUGGAAUUCCUGGUGUAGCGGUGAAAUGCGCAGAUAUCAGGAAGAACACCCGUGGCGAAGGCGGCUCUCUGGGACGGUACUGACGCUGAGGCGCGAAAGCCAGGGGAGCAAACGGG